UCCGGUUUGACACCGGCAGUCUCCCUAGAGUGCCCGGCAUAACCCGCUGGUAACUAGGGACGAGGGUUGCGCUCGUUGCGGGACUUAACCCAACAUCUCACGACACGAGCUGACGACAGCCAUGCAGCACCUCGACUCCACUCCCUUGCGGGAUAGCGAUGUUUCCAUCGCCGUUGGGAAGCCGUUCGAGCCCAGGUAAGGUUCUUCGCGUUGCGUCGAAUUGAACCACAUGCUCCACCGCUUGUGCGGGCCCCAGUCAAUUCCUUUGAGUUUCAGCCUUGCGACUGUACUCCCCAGGCGGCAUAUUUAACGCGUUAGCUCCGGCACAGAUCAACUGAAUGACCUACACCAAAUAUGCAUCGUUUAGGGCGUGGACUAC
rnacentral:misc_RNA from 1 species